rfam:Saprolegnia diclina VS20 unplaced genomic scaffold supercont1.30, whole genome shotgun sequence.
GAUCAAGGAUGCUAAAACAUAUUUGCUACUCUUGACCAAAAUAUGACGACAUUCAAUCACCAAGAUCGCUGAGAUC